rnacentral:rRNA from 1 species
AACGAACGCUGGCGGCGUGCCUAACACAUGCAAGUCGAGCGCGAAUGGAGCAAUCCUAGUAGAGCGGCGCACGGGUGCGUAACACGUGGGUAAUCUGCCUCAGAGACUGGAAUAACCUGCCGAAAGGCUGGCUAAUACCAGAUAAGCCUACGGACUCUUCGGAGUCUGAAGGAAAAGGUGGCCUCUGUAUACAAGCUAUCACUCUGAGAUGAGCCCGCGGCCCAUCAGCUAGUUGGCGGGGUAAUGGCCCACCAAGGCAACGACGGGUAGCUGGUCUGGGAGGACGAUCAGCCACACUGGAACUGAGACACGGUCCAGACUCCUACGGGAGGCAGCAGUGGGGAAUUUUGCACAAUGGGCGAAAGCCUGAUGCAGCAACGCCGCGUGUGUGAUGAAGGUCUUCGGAUUGUAAAGCAC